rnacentral:tRNA from 1 species
GGGCAUGUGGUGUAGUUGGUUAUCACGCUCGCUUAGCAGUGUACUUGCGAGAGGGGUCCGGUUCGAUCCCGGACAUGUCCA